rnacentral:tRNA from 3 species
GGGUGUGUAGCUCAGGCGGUUAGAGCACGUCACUGAUAAUGACGAGGCCGGAGGUUCGAGUCCUCCCACACCCA